CUUCUAUUGGAGAUGCCUCCGAUAGGGUCAUUCAAUGACCAGUGGUAGAUUAACUGAAGCUGUGGAAGAGUGCCUAAAGGCAAUCAAAUGUGAACCAUCGUGUUCUCAUGCCCAUUAUAGGCUUGGAACUCUUUAUUCUAGGUUUGGUCAAGUUAAUGAUGCAAGUUGGCAUUUUGAGUUAUCUGGGAAGAAUAUUGGCUCAGAAAUUAGGCAGCGUCUAUUACGUAUUGAAGCUCACUAUGUAAAUACUAACAAGGCGAGGAAGGUUAAAGAUUGGGAUGGGGUUUUGAGAGAAAGCACUUUAUGUAUUGAAGCUGGAGUAGAUGCAUCAAACCAGUUGGUUGCUUUAAAAGUUGAGGCCCUAUUUAAGCUUCGAAGGGUAGAUGAAGCUUUUGAAUUAGUAAAUGCUGCAAGUCAUUCGAUCAGAAGAAAGUAGUCACAAAACCUUGCAAGGGGACAGUAUGCUUGCUGAUAAUUGAAAAUAAACUCAAUUUGUAUCUUGGAAGGUAAAUUGCGCUUUACUUAAUUAGAUUAGGGUUCAUUGUCCUAAUAUAAGAUUCUAAAUUGUGGAUUGUCACAUAAUAUAUGGCCAAAGUACACUAUAUCCCACCCCUGUUCUGGCCUUUUGGGUCAUUUUCAGUUUACCCUUUUUCCUUUUCAUUUAAACACAUUGCAUUCUUAUCACACCUCAGUCACUUUGAUUGCCUGAAAGUGAACUACCAAUAUUACAUUACACUUUGAAACCCAAGCUUCCUGAAUUAAUAGCCAAAGUGACUGAAGUACAAAAUUGUUCAAUUUUGAAACAGUAGUAUGUUUGCAAUGUGUUGAAAAACUAGAAAGUUGUGAAAUGAAAGCAAUCUUAAGAUAGAGGGUAGUAAAAUGUAAUUAGCCCUAAAUAUAUUAAUAAAAUCUAGAAAUACAUAAUGCUAUUGCCUUAUAUUUGUCAAAUAGCUUUGUGUUUAAUUAAGUCAAUAUCAAGAUGUCUAUCUUCUAGGUAGAGCUAGACCACUGGGACUAGAUCUCCUCAAGAUAAGUGAUUCUUCUUGUUCUCCAAAUAAGAAAUGUAGGAUCUAUGUCAAUAUCAUUGUAUUGACAUGCUGUGUAAUUUCUGUUUUUCAAACACAUAUGCCAUGGAUUUAUAGGUUAUUGGUUUAAUUGUAAAAGAAUAUGAUGUCGUGCAUUGAUGUUGAUUCAUAUUUUACUUGUAAUCCAUUUACAGUACACACCCAUGCUUUUUAUGUGGGGUUAUACUGCUCGCAUUUAUCCUAUAGCAGAAUUAUUUUGGCUUGGCUCGAUUGCUUUAUUUCCUGAUAUCUCUCUUUAAUGGCUAAGGGAACAUGGAUGUUGUAGUUAUAGCUGCAGAAUUAUGUCUUUUGUUCUCAUCCUUUUUUUUCUUGUUUGUUUCAUUUUACAUCAAUUAUUACUUGAGGUAUUCCCUGUUUUGCUGUGUAAUUUCUGUUUUAAGUAUAUUAGGAUAUAGCUAGUCUUUUCAAUUUAAUUCUAUAUGCAAUCUGAUUGAGAUUUUUUACAGGUAAAGAAGUAUUCAAUUUGCUAAAACUUCAGUAUCUGUAAGUGUACUCAAGUAUGUGUGAGUGAUUUCCUGUAUGUAAUUAAACUUAAAAAUAUAAAGUUUCAGUCUUUUCAAACUCUUAAACAAUCAUGUACCUAUAGUUUACCCUUAUAUCACCUCAAAGCACCUUCUAAUCUACCUUAUUUAAAAUGGUAUGUUUUCUAGGAUAUUGUUUUAAACUGCUGUUUAUCUGUAGUGUUUAAACUGCUCAUCCUCAUGAACUUGGGUCUCAUUCAUUUUUCGUGUUCCUUCAGAAUUACUCAUGUUUCUUGUUUAUGGUUUAACUACAGCUCCAACAUUUGAACUAGCACUGUGAAACCUCUUGGCUUUCAAUUUUGGUGUAUGUAGUUUGUUUUUGUUCGUUGCCUUAUGUUGUUCCCUGAUUGCACACUUUGCAGGUAUUUCAAAGGUCCUGAGAUUCUUGUUGAUUUACAAGAUUAUGACUAUUCUUUGGACUAGUGGAUUCUCGGUUGUAUUUUUGCUGGAAUGGUUGAUUCAAAGAAGUUUGGAAUGCUGGCAAAUUGGCAGCGGGAUUUCACCAUGGAAAACAUAUUGAUGCAGCUGAAGAAGGAAAUGACAGCCUCACACAACCGGAAGCUUGUCCAACCACCCGAAGGUACAUAUUUCUAAUGGGAGGCAACUUUGAAGAUUGUCACUGAUCUGUUGAAACGAUGGAUUGGCAUAGGCUGAAUCUCUUUUAUACAUGUACAAUAUUUCCAUUAUUGACAACUUAAGAUAUUUCCAUUAUGGACAACUGGAGGAAAGAAAGGAAAAGUGGUCCUCAAGCUCUUUAGUGUCACUCUCCUCUAUUGUUUUUCUUUUGGAUGAUUCUUGUUUAAACAUUUCUUAUUGAGAAUUUUAUCCAUGUAUUGAGUGAAAUGCAAUUAAAAUCAGUUAUGGAGUGCUAAUUUCAUGAUACAGCUCAUCCAGAAUUCAUAUUUCUGCAAGAACCAGAACACAUGCUCAACUUAAGUUGCUAGUAGCUGCUGGCAUGUUUAAAUGUUAAAGUUUUUAACAGGUUGAGGACUAGCAAAAGAAAGAUCAAAAGGCCAAUAAAGUACAUUAACUACCGGGAUUAUACACGUGGAGAUAUGUAGGAUGCUAUUGAUAGCGUAUCAAAGGCUUCUCAAAGUAAGAUAUCAAAGGCAUUUUUGCAGCAGCCCCCUAUUCAGGAACUAAUUGGAAGGGAUCUUCAUGAUAUAUAAUGAAUGGAAAUUCAGACAUAUUUCGAGGAGGCUUGCAACAACACUAGAGUAAUUGGUACAUGAAGUAGAUCGAGGAAGAUCCCUGCAAAGUUCAUCUUGAAGUAGCUAGAGGAAAAUAACUAACUUGUAAAGCUUAAUUAUCGAUCUUGUAAAUUUUGGUAGAAGUUUCAUUCAUUUUGUAACAUUUAUGAGGAAAAUUAAAGUGUAACAUUUCCUUUUAUAUAAGCUUCGUUCCUUUUU